CCUACGGGCGGCAGCAGUGAGGAAUAUUGGUCAAUGGACGAAAGUCUGAACCAGCCAUGCCGCGUGCAGGAAGACGGCUCUAUGAGUUGUAAACUGCUGUUGUACAAGGGUAAACCGGAAUACGUGUAUGAAGCUGAAAGUACUGUACGAAUAAGGAUCGGCUAACUCCGUGCCAGCAGCCGCGGUAAGACGGAGGAUCCAAGCGUUAUCCGGAUUUAUUUGGUUGAAAGGGUGCGUAGGAGGAUUGAUAAGUUAGAGGUGAAAUGUCCGGGCUCAACUCGGUAACUGCCUCUAAUACUGUUGAUCUAGCGCGUAGGUGCGGUAGGCGGAAUGUAUGGUGUAGCGGU
rnacentral:rRNA from 1 species